rnacentral:rRNA from 1 species
AUACCGUCGUAGUCUUAACCAUAAACUAUGCCGACUAGGGAUCGGGCGAUGUUACUAUCUUGACUCGCUCGGCACCUUACGAGAAAUCAAAGUUUUGGGUUCUGGGGGAGUAUGGUCGCAAGGCUGAAAACUUAAAGAAAUUGACGGAAGGGCACCACCAGGAGUAAACCAUGCCUAGCCGCUGGCUCUGCGCCUGAUAGCACGACCCAUAGGGUGGUGGUGUUCUUUGAAAUGUUGCUAGUCCCCUAGGGGGCAACACGCUUAAAGUGCGGGGACCUCCAAUACUUUUACCAUCCUAAGCCUGUGUUUUAUUGCGCAGGUGGCCAAGUUAAUAGCUUGGGUACGGGAAAAAUUGGUAGGGUGGACUAUCCGCAGCCAAGCCUCUAUUUUCCUAGAGGAAGGUUCAGAGACUAGACAAGCGUGGGUUGGUAGGGAAUACCGAUUUAAGAUAUAGUCCAACUCAAGGUGAAAGCCUUGCUAGUAUCUCCUAGAAAUGGGAGCCUGCGGCUUAAUUUGACUCAACACGG